rnacentral:rRNA from 1 species
GACGAACGCUGGCGGCGUGCUUCAUACAUGCAAGUCGAACGAGAAGCUGACUUCGGUCAGUGGAAAGUGGCUGACGGUUGAGUAAUAUGUAGGAAAUCUGCCUUUAGGUGGUUUUCAACAGAGUUAAACUUCUUCUAAUACCCCAUAUGAGCGUAGCUUAAAUGCUAUUUUUGAAAACUCCGGUGGCUAAAGAUGUGCCUGGAUUUGAUUCUCUAGUUGUUAGUUUGAUGGAUUUCCAAUGCGACGAUCAGUAUCUGUUUUGGGAUGAUGAUCAGCCAAAAAGGGAAAGAGACACGACACAUAAACCUGCGGGAAGAAGCAGUAAGGAAUCAUGAGCAAGGGGCGAAAGACUGACGCAGCAACGCGGCGUGAACGAUUAAGCCCUUCGGGGUGUAAAGUUCUGUCAGUGGGGACGAAAAUUGACGGUAACAACAGAGGAAGCACCGGCUAACUACGUG